rnacentral:rRNA from 1 species
UACGUAGGGUGCAGGCGUUAAUCGGAAUUACUGGGCGUAAAGCGUGCGCAGGCGGUUUGUUAAGCCAGAUGUGAAAGCCCCGGGCUCAACCUGGGAACUGCGUUUGGUACUGGCAAGCUAGAGUACGGCAGAGGGGGGUGGAAUUCCACGUGUAGCAGUGAAAUGCGUAGAGAUGUGGAGGAACACCGAUGGCGAAGGCAGCCCCCUGGGCCGAUACUGACGCUCAGGCACGAAAGCGUGGGGAGCAAACAGG